rnacentral:rRNA from 1 species
AUUGAACGCUGGCGGCAGGCCUAACACAUGCAAGUCGAACGCUUGGCGGACGUUUGAUUAAUUUCUGGGAACCUGCCCCAUGGUUUGCGAUAACUACUGGAAACGGUAGCUACUACCCCUUACCAUCCUUUGUGCCCAGAUGGGAUUAGCUAGUAGGUGGGGUAACGGCUCACCUAGGCGACGAUCCCUAGCUGGUCUGAGAGGAUGACCAGCCACACUGGAACUGAGACACGGUCCAGACUCCUACGGGAGGCAGCAGUGGGGAAUAUUGCAAAAUGGGCGAAAGCCUGAUGCAGCAAUGCCGCGUGUAUGAAGAAGGCCUUCGGGUUGUAAAGUACUUUAAGCGAGGAGGCGGUAGUCGAAGAAGAAGCAACGGCUAACUCCGUGCCAGCAGCCGCGGUAAUAG